CCUCUCAUGGCGUAGUGGUUAACGCGCCCCAACUAGAGAUCGGGGAGUCGUGAGCUCGAUUCUCACUGAGAAGA
rfam:Aedes aegypti strain Liverpool supercont1.17 genomic scaffold, whole genome shotgun sequence.